rnacentral:lncRNA from 1 species
ACAAAUUUUAAUCCUAUGAACAAAAUUAAAUCAAUCAUCUUCAACUUUGUCUUAACUUUCAUCCUUUUCUCCAUAAUCUUUGUAAUUCUAAACUCAUAAAUCUCCAAAUUAUUUUUUUCUUCUCAAAUUAAUUAUUUUUGAUUUCAUAUUUGACAUUAGAUUAUGGAUUUUGAUUGAUAUUGAUGUUUAGUAACAUCAAUUAGCAUGACUGAUGAUGGAAUAGAGCAAAUGAAAUUCAAGUUUGAUUGAUAAAUUCAGCUUCUUGAACUGAUUUAUAUGGCUGAAUUUCUCUUUCCAAAAGUUCAAUUGUUUUUUUUCUAUAAAUUUUUGGAUUCUUGAAUCAAACUGGAAAAUCAAACACUUGGUGAGAUGUGAAUUUUUUUUGGUGUCUCAACCAUGAUUCUCAGAAUUCACGACACAACAAACCACCAACAUUUAAGAGACUUGUGUGCAGUGCUUGUAGAAAGAAAAACAGCAGAAAGAUUUCUAUAGAUCUGAAAUUUUUAACAGAUCUAGGAGGUAGUUCCUUCAAAGAAAUUCUUGAACCUCACCUGGUAUUUUCAUAUUAUGAUCAGUUAGAAUGGAAUCACAGUGAAGGAAUGAGACCCACUGCUGCCCAAUUUCUAGAUUCAGUUAUUACGGGUUGGGUUCGUGCAGAUCACGGGUUAUUAGAUCAGUUAGAACGGUUCUGAAGAAAACUGAAAAUAUUUUGUAGAAGCAUAAAAAAAAAAAAAAAAAGCUUCAGAUCGGUAUACCAAUGGUUGCUUACCAUUCUGUAAAAAUGGAAAAUGAAAGAGAAGGAAUUAGGAAGAAAGAGAAGGUCACAUGCAUUUGUUUUGUGUUGACC